UACGUACAAGUUGUGCUGACUGGCUAAGCAAAAGUCCAGGUUCAGAUGUCCGAGAUGGUGUAUAUUAUAUAAAUCCGGAUGGGAAAUUGCAGAAACAUUUUCUAGUCUGGUGUGAUAUGUCUACGAGGGGGGGAGGUUGGACGGUGUUUCAAAGAAGAAGAAACGGAUUGCAGAAUUUUGUGCGUCCUUGGGAAGCUUAUAAAUAUGGAUUUGGUUCGAGAAAAAAUGAUUACUGGCUUGGUCUGCACAGGAUUCAUCGCAUGACGCGAAGUGAAGAACAAGUUCUAAGAGUUGAUCUUGAAGACUGGGAAAAUAGCCGUCGGUAUGCACUGUAUGAAACAUUUUCUCUUGCAAAUGGGGAUCUUGAAUACCAAAUUACAGUUCGAAAUUAUUCCGGUAAAUAUAUUUUUUUACAUACAAUACAACUCGCAAGGCAUAAAAACAACUAGCUAGGUUGUUGACGUGUUGAAAAAUAUCGAAAACCGAUAUUGACAUACAGAUGUAGAUAUCGAAAACAAAAUAGCUUAACUUAAUGGACCAUAAAUUUGUGUUUUAUUAAUGGCCCAUAAUUCGUACCAAAUUCAUGUGGUAUGAAAAGUUAUCCAUUUUUAAUAUAGUUCAGAUACGACAAUAGCUGAAAUACCAAAUUGAUCGAUAUUUUUGGCACAUCGAUAUAUUCGAACUUGCAAUAUCCAAUAAUCGAU